CUGCGAGUUCGCGGGAGAGUAGGUUAUUGCUACGAUUCGCGGGAGAGUAGGUUAUUGCCAGGGUUUUUAUUUAUACUUUAAAUUUGAUUUAUUUUAUGUUAUUUAAAUAACACAAAAAAUAAAUAUAUAUUGACAUGGAUUAAACAAAGAUAUAUAUUAUUUUAUGUUGCAUAAACAAAUUGGCAAAAUAGAGAUGGAAGAUAAAAAUAUGGUCAAAGUAAUAAGAGUCUAUGGUGAAUGCCUAGGA
rnacentral:misc_RNA from 1 species